GAUGAACGCUAGCUACAGGCUUAACACAUGCAAGUCGAGGGGCAGCAUGGUCUUAGCUUGCUAAGGCCGAUGGCGACCGGCGCACGGGUGAGUAACACGUAUCCAACCUGCCGUCUACUCUUGGACAGCCUUCUGAAAGGAAGAUUAAUACAAGAUGGCAUCAUGAGUCCGCAUGUUCACAUGAUUAAAGGUAUUCCGGUAGACGAUGGGGAUGCGUUCCAUUAGAUAGUAGGCGGGGUAACGGCCCACCUAGUCUUCGAUGGAUAGGGGUUCUGAGAGGAAGGUCCCCCACAUUGGAACUGAGACACGGUCCAAACUCCUACGGGAGGCAGCAGUGAGGAAUAGUGGUCAAUGGGCGCAGGCCUGAACCAGCCAAGUAGCGUGAAGGAUGACUGCCCUAUGGGUGGUAAACUUCUUUUAUAAAGGAAUAAAGUCGGGUAUGUAUACCCGUUUGCAUGUACUUUAUGAAUAAGGAUCGGCUAACUCCGUG
rnacentral:rRNA from 1 species